rnacentral:tRNA from 1 species
ACAUUGGUGAUUCAGUAGUAGAAUUCUUGCCUUCCAUGUGGGAGACUCAGGUUCAUUUCCUGGUCGACGCA